ACUCCUUUAGUUUAAUUGGUUAAAACAUAUUACUUCUAAUAAUAUAAUUAACGUUCGAUUCGUUAAAGGAGUG
rfam:Pichia angusta strain DL-1 mitochondrion, complete genome.